CAACAGUUGUAUUCAGAAUAUCACUAACCAUCCUAGAUAAAGUCUGAAGACCAGCAGGGAGUUUAUUGCCAGAUCCAAGCUCCAGAGCUUGGAGCUUAGGCCAAGAUGCAGCUAGCUGGGGAUAGAUAAGUGCAGAAAUUGGUGGGGCUUUCUGGUCUCUUCAGAGACAAAUGGGAUUAUGAUUAGUGAUCACGGAUAUGGCUAAGGAUGACCAGCUCUAAUCUCCUAACUGCAUGUAUAAUCACCAACCCAGAAGGCAAAUAAAACAUGGAGGCAGAGCUUCCUGUCUAUUAACUGGAAUUCCGACGUGGAUAUCUGUUUGAGAUGGUAUACAUUUCAAGCAGCAGAUGUGUAACUUCUGUGAAUAUAAGCUAGAAACCCCAGAGGAGAACAUGAAGGCACCAGAUGGUUAAAGGGACUGCAAGCAACCCCACAGCUCUGACCAAGGACGAACAGGAAGGGCAGCAGGCUACAACGAAAUGUGUCCCGAACGGUUAAAAUCUGUGCAGUUCUCAGUUCCAUGGCUUGAAUCCUGCCUGUGUGCUUCU